CCGGCUGCGGGCGGUCAAGCCCGGAGUCCCACCUGUGUCCCCACAGCCCUGUCACAAAUCCGGGUCGGGUUCGAGGAGGGACCGCCUGGGCUUUGUGGGCCGGGUGCGGCUCGGCGGUGGAGGACUCACUUCCUGCUCCAUCCCCGGCCGGGCCGGGCCGGAACUGAUGACUCUCAGUGAUGUGGCUGGGGACUUCAGGGAAGAAUGGGUACCCUGCACCCUGCCUGGAGACUCCUCUUCUGGGAUGCCACCCAGCACAGUCAGAAGAAUGGUCUCUCCAAGGGCUUUCCGGACCAAGCGUGGUCUCCCAGCUGGAGCGGAAAGAAGAGCCAUGGGUGCUACCACUCCAGAAUCGCGAGGCAAGAGGGAUCCUAAGGGAAAGUGACGCAGACUCUGAGAACCAGGUGGCAAAACUCAACGGGGACCUGUCGCCAACAGCAGAACACUGCGGGGCGUCCUCCGAAGGGGCCAGUGAGGAUACUUCUCCCGCCCCUGGCUGGGGAGAAACCGGGGAGAGGGAGCCGGUGGGAGCCGCGGAACGCGCGACCCGCCCGGCAGGGGCCCCGCCUGCGCCCCGCGCACA